UAGGGAAUCUUCGGCAAUGGACGGAAGUCUGACCGAGCAACGCCGCGUGAGUGAAGAAGGUUUUCGGAUCGUAAAGCUCUGUUGUUAGAGAAGAACGUUGGUAGGAGUGGAAAAUCUACCAAGUGACGGUAACUAACCAGAAAGGGACGGCUAACUACGUGCCAGCAGCCGCGGUAAUACGUAGGUCCCGAGCGUUGUCCGGAUUUAUUGGGCGUAAAGCGAGCGCAGGCGGUUCUUUAAGUCUGAAGUUAAAGGCAGUGGCUUAACCAUUGUAAGCUUUGGAAACUGGAGGACUUGAGUGCAGAAGGGGAGGGUGGAAUUCCAUGUGUAGCGGUGAAAUGCGUAGAUAUAUGGAGGAACACCGGUGGCGAAGGCGGCUCUCUGGGCUGUAACUGACGCUGAGGCUCGAAAGCGUGGGGAGCAAACAGG
rnacentral:rRNA from 1 species